UUUAUGUUAUUUCAUUCUUGGUUUCUAUUUGGGCUGUGAGAAUCGUGAAAACUCCCUUUUAAUAAAUUAGUCUGGGGAAUCUAGGCAUAAAUUGGUUGGGACGUUUAGCAAGCCAUGCAGUUUGGACUAUUAGAUAUCCUUCUCUAUCCAGAGAGUACAAGGUAAAGUCAUGUACCAAAAGCUUGUAGAGAUCUGUGUCCAUUCAGCCUCUACCCUCUAGACUUUGCCUUACCCAGAGCUGACUUUGCAGCAUGCUCGGGAGUAUAAAGAUGCUCAACUGCACCCAGGUUAUCUAAGAAAAAAGAAUUGACUUGGAAACUGCUAUUGACAAAUGGCUUCAAAUAGCUGUGGAGCAGGAAGCGGCUUGAAUUUGUUCCUGCAACUUUACCUACAUGUCUGCUGUGGAGAAAAAAGAUAAUAGCGCCUUCAUAGUUAUCUGUUUUACUUGUAAGAUUGAUUUAAAAUAAUGGAUUUAAAAGCAAAAAAGAACUUUAAAUCUGUUGUUUCAAAUCUAAUACCACAGGCUUUGGAAGCCUGGGGUUUGUAUUGUCUUAUUUGGCCUUUCUCCCAGAUGGCUGCAGACCUCGCUGUAAUCUCGCAAACCAUUUAGCUCUCUGCUGGUAAUGUCCAAAGGGACACAGGUAUCUGCCAUACCAUGUAUGUCUUCUUAACAUAUACCUGUCCUACACUGCCUGAAGGACCUGAUUUGCAUGGCAUUCUCCAAACCAGACCUUGUACGAAAAGGUCAUAAGAGUUAGAUGAUAUGGGUGGCAUCCCAUAUCCCAUACGCUGAACCACCAGACUGUACAGUAGACAAGCAGAAAGCACUUAUUCUCCUGCAGCCAGUUGUUAGAAAAAAAACAAACCUGAUUUUAUUGCCAGUCUUUUGCCUGUGAACUCUUGGCAGAUGCAAAGUCUUACAUCACAUUUUCCUAUUCAGUCUAUAGGCCUUGUAUAUCCCAUACCUUACCAUCCCUAGGAAACAUAUAAAGAACUUCCACAUCCUUCUCCACUGAGGAAAAAACAUCUCUGAAUUCUGUGAAGUAUUACAUCCUCUAAACUUGGAGUGACGUAGUUUAUAACACUCAAGCCUUUUGGUGGACCUAGCUCCACUGAUGUCUCUUAAUUCUUUAGAGAAAAGGAUGUAAGGAUUCAACUGUCCAGAAUAAAUUUUUCACUGUGAGAGCAUAUCUAAAAGGUUAGAGGAGGGUGCCCAAGACCCAAGUACAAUUGGCAUUUGAUGGUUUCUAGACGGACCAUCAAGAGUAAGAGUUGCCUUUCAGCAUCUACCUUGUGCAAUCAGAGUGGAAAAAAGCCACUGAUAUCUAAUCAGGACAUGCUGCCACUGUGUGAUUUUUUUUAUCCUUCCUUGUUGCAGCCCCAGGGCCACUUGCAGUCCUCGCAGUCACCAGGCUUGUAUCCCACAUGGACUGCAGACGCAGAGCAAGGAAUAGUUUUGAUCAAGUUGGGAAGGCACUUCCUGCCUUCCCAGAACAGAGUAAGAGAUCUGCUUUUCUGAAGCUUUAAUCUCUGCGCAGUAACUCAGUUGCGUACUGAGCAGGACCAACAGCCUGACAUUCCUGAGUGCUUCAUCGGCGAGGUCUACACUCUGUUCCAUAGUAAUUAAAGGAAAAACCUUCUUUAACUCUCAGUGGUUCAGGAUAUGACUAGGAUAUAUCCCAAUGAAAACCUUAACUUAAACAUACCCUUAACUGGUAGCAUGUUGGAAUUGAUUGAACAAGACAGUCCUGAGUAACUCAUCAAUCCCUCUAUUAUUUUUUCCAGAGCUGCACAGCAGCUAUUUACUCAGUAUGAUUUAUUUUUUUUUUAAUUUCUUUAUAUUCAACAUGUUUUAUGCAUUAGUAUUAGAAAAGCCUGUCUUUCUCUUGCCAAAUGUUACUGCAAGUUGUCUAGCAGGGAGGUGAGAUUAUGUAGAUUUAUUUAUUCAGAGUUUAAUUUGCAUACAUGAAAAAUGGAAGUAGAGCUUUUAUUUUCUUCAUGGUUAAACAAAAAUGUGUGUAGUGCAAUAGUUCAGAAUUCUAGAUUUUUUUCAGGUCAACCAGUAGUCAUUUCAGUGCCUGGGCCCAUCUUCUUUAAAUUGGACACACUAAUGGCUGAUGGCAUAUUCUGGGGAAAAGAUUAAGAAGACGAAAUAGAUCAGAUUGUUAAUGAAUUUGCUUAUAAGCUGCCUUAGUUAAAGGUGUCCUCUUGAAAAGAAAUUUCAGAGGCAUAUAAAGGACUUUAGACAGCCGUUGGCUUGGAGGUCUACAUAGUCCCAGGCUAUCAGGCAGUACCUACUAAGAGAAACUUCAUACUGCAAGAGAAUGGUCAUUGUGUGCAUCUGAUCCAGCUGGCCUCAUCGGCACAACGUGGAAUCCAUCUGCAUGGGUAUAGCCUAGAGGACCAACUGAGCCCACACAGUGCCUCUGGAUGCGAGAGGCAGACGCCUCUCUGAACCUUACAGUGCAGGCUGGUUGAUAUCCAGGAAAGCAGUCAGUUCCCCAAGACAAUAUGGGAGAUCUUGCUACCACAUGCUUUUCAUUCAGAAUACAAGAACUCACCAUGCAAUACAGCAUAUCUAUCCUGCAUUAUGCAGCAUAUCCAGCAGCCCAAGCAAUAGUUACUGCAUCCUCCAGAACUGACGUUUUCCAACUCAAGAUAACAGUGCAAUUCAUGCUAUAGCUUUUUAGAUUAAACUGGGGAAGAGAAGCAUAUCCUACAUUCAGCGUGUCUGGACGUCAGGAAUGGAUUGCCUCACCUCUUUCAGUCUAACUCAGCAGCUCUGGACCCAUGCACUAUUCACAAGAUCAGCACCUUUGGUUUGCCACUAUUUAUUUGUUCAUGUCUGCAGUGGUUCUCUUUUUCUCUCCAGAUGCUCCAUCAUUCACCAGCACCUCCUGGUAGCCCACCCUGCUCCCACAACCCAUCUCUUCUCACAGUUGACCCUCACUGAGGUCAGUAUGCGAUUAGGUGGCUGGAGAUCAUAAGGAAUAUUAAUCACAAGGAACACUUAGAUGUUGCUUUACAGACUUCCUUAUGUGAACUACACUGUGGCAAGCUAUCAGGUUACCGGUGGCUGAAAAAGAAACAGCUCUCUCUUUACCCUUGACAGUCGAAAGAAAGUUUGAUUUAUUUUCUCAUUUUCAGUUAGUCUAAAGGCAGCUGGACAGUAUUGCUGCAAAGCUCUAGCUGUGUGUCAUUGUAAUAGGGGCAAUAUGUUUGUUCACUUCUGCUCUCUUCCUCUGUCUAAUUGUUCUAUUGUCUUUCUGUUUUCUCUCCACAUUUGGGCUGACAAGAUGUCUCCUUGGGUUUAGCCCUCUAGCCAAAAAUUAACGGGCUCCUAAUCAAGGACUAACACCACCAGCGGUCUAUUUCCUGUCUUUGUUUACCAUUCUUGGUGUCAUCUUUCUUUUCCUCUCAGUUCAUCAUUUCAAAUUUUCACUGUUAUUUUCCUUCAAAUCUUCCUCCAUUCAGAGUGCAGGAAGCUUCCUAUAUACCACUCCCCUUUCAUUUUCUGGCCACUUGAUCUCUGGCCUCCCAACUGUACAUCCUGGAAGAGAACCAGAUGCAUUCAGAACCAGAUUUCAGACAGCUCUGUAACCCUUGAAUACAUGUAGCUAUGUCAGCAAGAUAUUUAUUACUGAGCCUCGAUGCAAAUUGUAUUGAUGUUUUGAACAUAUGACUAAUUACUAGGUACUGUUCACCAAGACUUGCAUUUCCCUGCAGAUAUCAAGACAGUCAGGGUACAAUUCAGUUGCCUAAACAAAAAUAUCUAAUGUCAUUUGAGAUGCUUUAAAACACAGGGCUGCAUGAUGUGUAAUCUAGGAGACCUUGACCCUUCCCUGUGGCAGCUGGAGAUGAAACGAAAUACCCCAGGUUUUCCACAAUGGUACCAGUUGCCUGUGUUUAAGGAAUUGAAUUGCACUCCUACUGUAUGUUGGAAUAACUGUUAUUGGUGCCUAAGUGUCUUUUUCCUGUUAUUACACAACUGCCUUUGUUUAUCUCUGCCAAGUCUGUCUUGAGAAUGCUGAACUCAUGUUGGCAAUCUUAAUCCAAACUAGAUGCUGGACAGGUUAGUAUGAAUCAUUAGGAAUCAGGUGAACAGAGAAGGCCUUUUUUUUCAUCUGUAAAACAUCCUUCUACCUUUACACAUCUACACAGUGGCAAAGGUAUAGCCAAGAUCUAUCUAGAUGAAUCUUGACUUAAAUAAAAUUAAAUGUUGUAGCCAGAGAAGAAUUGCCAAGUGUUAUUUCUGGUGUUUUGAUGGAUAAGCAAGGCUACUGCUCAUUAGCUAUACUGGCAAACAGAAGGCCUUAUUGAUACCUAGGUCAAAUCAGGGAAGGUAUCAGUUCCCCGUGGUCUUAUGUCACUUGCUCCUCCAGGAAGUCCCUCUGGACUUUCUGUUCGGAAAAGAGAGAAAUUGGCACAAACAGGUGGAGAUUCAAGCACCUGGCUUUACUAUCAGCCCUAAAACAUAAUUUGAAGGGACCUGUCUCGUUUAUGACUAUAUUAGGAGCCAAGAAACAUUCUCCCCAUAAUUAUUUAUGGAAGGUCAGGUGUGUCUAAAUAACCUCUUAGAAUUUCCCGCUUUCCAUCCCUUCCUCUCUGUCCCUUCAGUGAAGUAAUGGGCAGCACAGGCAGUUUGGGAUAAGGCCUGGUGGUUUCUGCCGUGUUCCUCACUCCUUGUGAGGAACCACUUCUUACUCUCAUUGCUCCUCUACCCCAGAAUAGGCUGUCCAAAGACUGCAGUCCCUUAGGUAUGUCCCAGCUAUAGCUAUACAUAUACAGCUAUAGCUAUAGCUGGGACAUAGCUGGAAAAGUCACUCCUUUCCAGAAGUGCUUCUUCAGUCAUGUUGCUAACAAUGUCCACUUCUACAUGUCUCCAACAAUGUCUCCUACACUUGCUUCCUCAGUUACUCUUUCCCCUCACAGUUACCACUCUUUCUCAAACAUGCUGGACCACCAUGGGCUCUCCUGACUGGUGGAGGUUUUGGCAGGCAUUGAGGCGCUCGCACCAACGCUGGAGCUGGCUGCAAGCAGCCCGGGGCAGUUCCCUGGCCUCCUCACUAUAUGAGGCACCCUGCUCCACCAUGAUGACCACCUCUAGAUCCUGUGGUGGUGGCCACCACACAGGCGGCAAGGCCACUCUGUCAGGAAAAGAAGGAUGUAGAGCGUGUGAUAUGACCCGAAGCAUUACUUUUUCAAUGCAGAAGCCCAUAGAGACCCAAAGCCCUUCUUCAUCCAUUGUGCAAAGCUGAGGACACCUUCUUCUUCAAACAUUCUGUUAACUUGUCGUGCCUUGUUCAAUGCAUGUAUGGGCUCUGAUGAAUCAUCACGUGGAUUUCCACCUAAAUGAACAAAGAAAUGCUCUGUCUCUAGCAGAGGUGUCAAUUCAUUUUUUUUUUAAAUGGACGGACUCCUGAGAACUUUCUGCUCUCUAUUGUGGGUUACCAAGUAAACUAGAUGAAGUAUGUCAAAUCAGAGCCAUAAGGAGCUAUUGGGUCAAGUCCUCUUCCUCUUCUCAGUUGGGCUUAUUUAACCCUUCCACAUGAGUUCAUACCACAGCAGUUUCUGGGCCACUGUACAUAUGGCUGUACAAAAUUGAUAGUCUUUUUUUGUCUCUGUUGGAUAGGAGAUUAUUCUGAAUGGAAUUUUAAAGAAAACACUUUAAAAUAGGGUUUCUGUUCCUGACAUGCUUUCUGAAGAACAUAAAUCUUUGAUUCCUAGCCCCGUAGUAAAUAUGAUAUCAACAAUGAUAGCUGGAAUGCUUAUAAAAACAGCAUCAGAGUAAACGGUGAACAUAAGUCAAACCGAUCUACAAACUAAUGGUUUUAUGGGAAUAUAUAUAAAAUCAUUUUUCUACAUUGCAUACUUGCCUAUAUUCAUAUAUUUACACAUACAGUACUUAUUAAACUACAGCAGGUGAACUAUAAAAUUAAGUGGGGUACUAAUUAUUAAUCUAACAUAUGAGGUAAAUUAAAAAUAGGUAGGUUCACCCACAGCAGUAUGUAAUAGCAAAAAAAGUUGGAUUUAAGUGUGUUAUUACUGAGGUUGGCUGAGAAGGAAAGUAAAAGACCUAACCUGAUUGUCAUGUGAAGGAGUGCUCUCUCAGUUUUACUGUUUCUAGCUGUGUCUUUUGUAAUACACAAUAGAGGAGUCUUUUCUCUGAUUUGCUUUUAAGGCUUUAGCACAAUCAAAAGCUGGAGGUAUUGUGAAGAAAAUCUGCAAAUAGCAUGAAAAUGUCUUGUGGUGACAUUCCUAUUCAGGCUCUGGGCCUGAUUUUGAAAGAUCCUGAACACCCAGAGCUGGCAGUGCUGAGCACUUCUGCAGAUCAGAUCUUUGAGGUCUGAAAGAUUGUUUUAUAAUCUUGUUUUCAUGCUCCUGCAAACCUACAAAGACAAUUUUUUUUUUUUCCAAACAGUAGCACAGAUUUUAUUAAAACCAUUCAGAACAGAUCUCUGUGUUUUAAGGGCACGGUUCUGUGCUGGCUGCUGCAAUACAGAACUUCAGGAAGAUAAUAAUAUGGACUGCUCCAAAAGUAAUGCCUCCUAUUUCAUUAUGCUGGCCCACGACAUCAAAGGUGGAUGUCGGAGGAUAUGGCGGUAGAGGUUGAACCUUCCCACCAAUAUCCCAUUACAUCUUGAUAUGCUCAAUGAUUCAUCAAAUGACAGUCCCAUCUCCUCUCUAUUUUUGUUUGUUUUCGGAAAUGCCCCUACAACGUAGUCAUUUUUCUUCAGCAUAUAAUAUGCCGAUUUGACUGACAGGUAUGUAACCUCCUUUAUUUGUUUUAAAAAGAAAAUCCAAGCUAUCUGAAGAACACUUAAGAGCAAACAAAAAUUAUGAAUACAAAUUUUCUAAAGCGAUGUGAUUGGUAAUCUUCAAAAUAAAAUUUAAUCACUUUUUUAAUAUUCACACAGGUAGGUGUUUAUGUUAUAUGCAUAUAUAUUAUGCUGAUGGUCCUAUGCAGAUUUGGGUAAACUCAUUUAAUAAGCCCAUUUGAAACACUUAUUGCAUAGAAAUCUUGAACUGUACGUUAUAAAUAAUGGUUUUCAAAUGAUAAUUUUAAUUUUCUUUUAUGGCUGCUGCAAAUUUAUAUUAAAGCAUCCGUGAAUUGGACAAUUUUUCAGUAGAGUUUACUUAAUGUUAAUCUAUUCAUUUGGGGGUAAACGAAGAGUUUAAUGGUGAAGAGGUGUAACUAGAAUAUAGUCUCAAGUGGUGUGUUAGGUUUAUCAAUCAGUGAAAAUUGUGCACUUGAGUGUAAGAGCACAUGUCUAUCCAUAUGCUUCUUGCUAGCUCAGUUAAUUGAAACCCUUUUUCCACCCUAUUAUCAAUACUUGAAAAAUAGCUCCAACCACGUCUAUUAACCAGUGUCUUAAUAGAUGCUUUAUCAGCUCCAUAUAAAUUGCAUGUAUUUUGCUAGAAAGCAAUUUCACUAAUACAGGGGCCGGUUCUAUGGUUCACUGGAGAUGUUCGGUCAGUUCAUGAUGAGGCACAUCUGGCUGGAUAGAUGGGGAUGGAUGGAGCUGUGGGCCUGGUCUUCAAUCCACUGAAGCACAAUACAAGGCUGGAGGUCCAGUCUGAUUGACACUCUCAGCCUUGAUUGAUUUUAACAAAGACAAAUUAUACUCAUGAGGAAAAUGAGCUAGACAUUGACACUUGUCGAUGAAAUUGUCAAUUGAAAUCUCAGUCAGAAUAUAAAUAUAUAUUUUUUAAUUUCCCAUAAAAUAGAAUGUAAAAAAUGUAAUCUAGUUUGGACUCAGGAGAGCAGAAUUACACACCAAUACUGAGACGUCACAAACAUCUCUGAAAUUAAAAGUUCUUCCUUCCAAAGCAACUUCUCUAAGGCUUGCGUUGAUAUUAACACAUUUCCUCUCUCCCUUACGUUGAAUGAAAAAUAAAAUGAAUAAAACGAAAAAAGAAAUUUGAAUGAAAAAUAAAUACGUAUUUUCUGAGCAUAUUUUCUGAGCUCAGCUGAAUACAUCCUGAGAUCAUGACAAUUCAGCUCUGUUCUACUGUGCCUUAAAUAAGAUGUAGGUACUUCCGUCUCCUAAGUCCAACAUACAAAACAUGUUUCUGAGCAUAUUCAAUCCUAAUUGUGCUGACGGGAAAUUCUUCCACUGUCCAGGCCUCCUUCUUCCUACUGCUUCCUUGCACUUCACACACCCAUUCUGCUUCUCUCCUUUCCUGUCAAUUUUCAUACUUGCUUUGGCUUUCUUGGCCAAUUGUUGACCUUAUGAAUCAAAGUAGAAGGAAAAUGUAAGGGUCUACAAAACAAAGAGGAGAAAGACAGAUAUAAAACACUCAGCAGUUUCUAAUCUAGUACUACCUAAAACUCUCUACAGGCAUUUCUAAUCAAUUAAGGCAUUUUGGACCCUUGAAUCCAUGGAGUUUCGCCUCUGCUCAGAAAUUACCCACACAGAAUAAACAGAGCUUUCAUUUCUGUACCCAAGUAGGUUUAUCAGUCCCAUCUGAUGUGAGGAUACAAGGUAAAGAGCAGUUAUUCAGGGUAAUGCUUCUCCAUCUCAGAAGUGGCCCAAUGACAUGUUUGAUUCUAUACAACACCUGUAUCUUCCAGUAAUUUCAUUGUUAUCUUUCUAAGGUAACCUGCUUCCAAAGGUGAUUUGCUAAUAGUCAUUCUUUCAAGAAGAGGAAUGGGAGCAACCCUCAACAAAGUGUUAUUAGUGCAUUGUCUGCAUACCUCUGGAAACACCCCCCACCAUUAUGCUCAGUUUUGGGGAUAUUCUCUCUGAGUGCUACUCUGCUGCACAGUUCUUUGGAGUAGCUUGCUGUCAUCAUGCAAAGCAGAGUUUUGCAGUGUUGAAGGAUGUCUGCUAGGCAGUAUGCAUAUGUUUUUGCUUGCUAUUUUUUCUUGUGUAUACCAGUCCCUAUGAUCUCCAGAAGUGAUCAGUGGGCAAGCCAAUGGAUCUAUAACAAUUAACACAAUAAGUACCUCAUUGUAUGAAGCGGUAAUAAAUUGAGAGAAUGUGCAUUACAGGUGAAUAAAUAGCUUUAAGUCUUAAAGCACAGUUCUGUGGGAAUAUAUGCUACAUAGGAAAGCAGAGCUGAACCCAGCACAACAUUUAUCAGAGCACAUAUAGUUUAGUGCUUAUGGCACACAUAUCUCUAGGUGGGAAGAAAAAGUGCCCAACAGAGCAAUCAGAUCCCCCCAAUCAGAUCCCAGCAAUGGAUUUGCAAAUUGACCAAAGCCAGUUUAUAGCUCAAUGUGAUUGUAACAAACCUAUUUUGUGAGUGCGAAAUUAAAGCUUGAAGUUUCAAAAAAAAAGGUACAAGGAAGACGGGCACUUUACCAUAUUUGCAAACACAUUGUUUUAUUGUCAGGACUUAAAAAUAUAUACUACAGUGGGCAGACAGAGUAAAACCAUAACUGAAAGCUAGCAGAAUCCUGUUAUGCAGUGAAGAACUUCCUUUUACAGUGCAGUAUUUCUUCACUGAAAGAAGAUCAUUGCUAUAAAGAGCAGGCAUUUAUCAAUUUUCAAAGGUCUUGGCCCAUCAAAGCUGGUGUUAGAUUUGGAAUUUCACUUUUGUUGCCAAGGUGACAAACACUUAUAAAUAUACCACAUCUUCUAAUGUGCUUUUAACUUAGUAUUUUUAUGGCUUUUAAAUCAGAUACCAUUAGCAAAUAUAUUAGGUAAUUUAGCUGAAAGACCAUUUUCCACUAACACUUUUUGUUACAUUUCCCCAGGUACUUCAGUAAAUGUCUGUUGUGACAUUGCAGUCCUGCCAUACUUCUAGCAUAUAAGGAUACAUAUGGAACAUCUAGUAAGAAUUUACAUGUUACCUUAGGGUUUUCUAUUUUUUGUGUUGAUAAUUACAAAGUGUAUGAAAGAAGACAAACAUUAAGAGUUAGAUCCUACUGGCCAUUGACUUCAGCAAGAACUGUGUUGGGAAUGGCUCCAGGACUGGCCCACAGCUUUUCUGUGUGUUGCUGUUCUUGGCUCCCAGGCCUUCUCUUUAUAGUCUGGCAGUGGGGCUGAAAGCACAAGGAAGAGCAUAACGGCUCCACAGCAGGGUCUUUCCCCUGCUCCACAAAGCUAGCAAACCAACACGGAGAUGUUUCUUCCUGUUUCAUUGACCUGAAGGCUGGAGGAGACCUUUGCAAUCAGCUGGUGUGAUGUCCUCUAGGACAUUUUGUCCCGGGAGCUCCAUCAUGCACCAAGGAUGGGAGGAGAGGUCUGCAGUGUGGGCAGGCAGGCUGGAGAGCUGGACUGAGGGACGGUGCUGACAGAAAGCAGCAAUCAUUCCCAGAUACAAUUUAAAAAAAAAAAAAAUGACAAAGCUUGCCAACACUGAGGAUUAAGCACAGUUCAUAAGCCAAUUAAUAAGCUUCCUACAAUAGCAGCACGUUAGCUUGGGUGGAAAGAUCUGAUGGAGAAACAUCCAGGAAAUGUCUUUCAAGCCUGCAUAUUAAAUUUAAUCUGCCACCCCUGUCUUUUAAGACUCUGAAUUCAUUUGCUGCAGGGAAAAAAAAAAUAAAGUUGAUCUGAAAGAAAAAGAAUAAAAAAACCUACUAGUCUGGUACAAGAGUUUGUUAGUAAAGACUCAAGGAGAAAUCUGCAGCGUGCUGAUCACAAAAAGCCGCCCUGCAUGGCACAUGCGAGGCCGCUACAUAGGCCGCUCUCACCCCCAGCCCAUCCCUGUCCCCUCAGCCCCUUCAUUCAGCACAGCUAUCUGUCAUGAAGAAUUUAAGUUUCAUAUUUUCAUCUGUCAGCUGCGAAAAGGCCUGUCAGCUGAAGCUUACACUACAGUUUGCCAAAAGGCCUAUGGCCCAUGAUGACAAUACACUCUUACAUUUGUGCUUCCAGGCUCCAGAUAAUCCCUCACUUUCCUCCUCAGCCAUCCAGUUAUGAUAAGGCUUAAAUUGCAUAUUUUGGGAGGUUUUAAAUCUAGAUUUUGCUGAUAAAUGCUAUCAGCAGGAGUGAAAUGAAAUACAGCAAGGUUUAGCUCUUAUUACCGACAUAAAGCCUACUAUGGCUGUUUUGUGAGGGCUAUAGAGAUGGUAUUCAUAAUAAACACGUUAAUGUCUAUAGUCACAGGAACUAAACGUAGGAAUGCUAAUAUUGGCUUUUAUCUACUUUGUCUGUUUGCCGUCCCUGAAAACUUACUAGGAAAAAAGCCACCCAUCCUUCAAACAUGACAUUUUCCACUUUGUGUCUUUAAUUUGAUUUGCAAAGGGAAAUAGGAAAAACAGCUCAUUAUAAAUCUGCGCACGAUUGUUUUAAUGCUCUGAGAUGCCACAAAAGGAAGAAAAUAUCUCAAUCCCCAAAGUACACCUUCAAAAGCCAACACUUUUCCUGUAAGACAGUUUAAAAAAAAAGACCAUCUCAGUUGCAUAUGUGAGUCUAUAUGAGGGUGAGGAAGGAUACAUGAAGUUAAUCCUCAUGUCUGUAACUUUAGGGCUGAACAGCUUUGAUGCUGACACCUAAGGACUCAGCAAAAAGUAAAAAUUGCUUCAAGAAAUCGAUCUUGUCUGAAGAUUGUCAGGUGGACACAGCACACUAACCCAGGUUUAGCUUUAGCCGUCUUGUCUCUUAGAAAUCAAUUGUCUAACCAUAAUGCAACCACAAAGAAAUCACAGCUUUAACUCAUUAAAGGCAUUUAAAUUGUCCAAUCAAUUAUGAUUCAAUUACAUUUUUCUGAAGUCAAUAUUACAUUAUGUCCCAAUGACACCACUACAUUUUUUUUCCUUUGGUGAAACAUCUAUUUUCUCUGCAGUUUUGUAAGAAUCUAAUAUAAUAUACUAGUACCAGAAGGAUUUCUGUUUCAUUCUCUUGUUGCCCUAUAUUGUUAUUUGGAAUUCAAUUUCAGAACUGGUUUCAACCCAUGGUCUGAGGCAAGGAAAGGGGAGACACCACUGCAGGUAAUACUACAAGAAGCACUGUGAAAAACAUCCUUCUUGUUAGCAGGUUUCAGCCUGCUUCGUAGGGUUUGCUUUUCCCCUGGGAAAUGUUUUCAGGUUUGCAGAUUAAAAAAAAAAGAGAGAUUGAGAAUUAUUUCCUUGGAAUACGUUUUCCAUGGCAAGCAAAGUGGGAAGUUGCUUACCCUCAGCAGAGAUGUGUUCAGAAAAUGAAGGCAGCUGCAAGGCAGUCAGCAGUCUCUGUACACAGUUCUGCAUGUGCUUCACACUGUAUUCCUGUGACUGGGACAACUUGGGUAAGCAGAGCUAGGGUAGCACGCGGCUUCCAAAUCAGGAAUGAGUAGUUGUAACACUACUGAAAAAGCUUGAAAUAAGUAACAGGCAUGAAUCUCGGUGUUGGUAUUCAGCUGUGGCAAAUGAUUCUUCUUCCAACAUGAUUGAAUUCCUACCUAUAAAGCAUCUGGACUUUUUUGCCCCUGGUACUUAGACAUGUCCCACUGGUAGGCAGAGAGCAACCAAGAGAAAUGAAGCUGGAAGGGAGUGCAGUAUCACUGUUAGUAUUUUUACUUUUAUUCAUUCACAUAACUUAUUAUUUGAAUAGGGUUCUGUAAAUAGAUAACAAUAGCUGACAAAAAGACUGUGUUAGUAAUAGUAUUAACGUCAGCAAUAAUUAUCAGACAUCCAAUAAAUCUAUUUUUCAGUAAUGAUAGUGAAAUAUUGUCAAGAUAGCAGCAACAGCACAUUGUUCAACACCUGGUUAAAAGUGGCAAGUACAUCCUGCUCCAGAAUGUUCCCACACAGCAACUUCUGGAAGAGGGAAGGAAUCAAGAUGAACAAGGAUCACUCUGAAAGGCAGAGGAAAGAGAAACAAUGAAAGCUGGUGUAGUCUGUAAAUUGGCUCUUGGUGCAUGUUGUGGUUGGUCGCCUCUGUGAAGAUAAUCAGUGCUAAAGGAUUGUGAUAUGUGUCAUAACAAAAGGACAUUUGCUCUAUUUUUGUUCAAAAUAUCAAAACAUCUGAGGGACAAAGGUUCUGUUGCUCCUGUAUGUUUCCACCUAGAAUAUUCUGUUGACCAUCUUAACUAUAUUUUUUUUUAAUAGAAGUGAAAAAAUCAUAAUACAUUUUCUUUCUGGAGUAAAUUACUCCAGGAGCUGGUGAUUUGAUUCCGUAAGCAAGACAGAUUUUUAGUGUUUUGAGUUGCACUGUCUCAGGGUAAAAAUUCAAAAAAUAGCUUUACCCCACUGCAAAACCAGAUUCUGCUCCUGAAUUCCUGGGAAGUUCCCACCAGAGCUAACUGCCUUCUGUUUCCCUGCCUCCUGGUUCUUUUGUCUCUGUAGUUACUCAUUAGGAGCAGACUCACUGCCUCAUUUAAACAACAAACGAAGGAGGCAGAUCAACAUUUCUCUCUAUGUUUCAUUUUACCUAUGGUUUGGGAACAGCUUCAGUUAAAUCCAGGUUACCUUUCUCCACAGGCAUGAACAAAUUGGUAUGUGGGUGUCCAGUGUAGCUGUAGAUGAAGAAAGGAUGGAAAAUUGCCGUGAUAUAACAUGUUCUCUUUGAAAGUUAGAAACACAGGCCUUUCUUACUAGUUUUGGUUAGGCAGUUCCCUCCUCCACAUGCUGGCUUUUAAGACUUUUCAUUCCUGGAUGCUGAACAACUCAUUUUAAUUGCUUUAAUUUUCUUGAGAAACUUCUGCAUGGACCCCAAGCAUCUAGUGUGGGGUAAUAAACUCCUGCAGGCAGCAGGAUGCUUAACUGUCAGGCACUGCAAAUUCUCACCUCCCAAGCCUCUUUCAGAGAUCCCAGCCAAACCUUUCCUCCUUUUUGUGUUAUACCUACUCCAAUUACCCCGCCAUCUCACUGAAAGGAUUGUUUGACUAUAAGCUCCGUUUUUCUACUUUAAGCAGCUGUAUUUGACUCCAGCACAGGCAGACGCCAUGAAAAAUCAUUUCUGUCAGAUGCAGAGAUGUGGCGACGAGAGAUCUCCUUAGCAGCUGGCACCAGCGUGGGAGCCGCUGGGAUGAAAGGCCCUGGCACCCUCCAGCCGCCAGAGGCCGUGGUCAUGUCCUCUCCGUGGGAAGCUCCUCUCCAGGGCUUCUUGAGGGAGCAAGUAGGGCCGUGCAGCUUAGUUUAGUCAGCCCUGGGACAAAAACCAGUGUACCUCAUUCUGCCCUUAUGACAGCUCAGUCUACUUCCACUGAAGGCAGUGGUGGAACUCCAACUUCCUUUUCAAGCAAGAUGUGUGUUCAGCUCUUUCAGUAUUUUACUUACAUGCCAAAGACAUUCCCUAGAAACUUCAAGCUCCUUUUUGAUCUUCUUAUUUCACUGGGGAGUAAGAAAGCCAGAGGGUAGGCAUUUAAGUCAGGAUUACACUAGUCAUUCCUCAUACAGGGUGCUAAAGUCAUCAUGACCAACUCUGAGGAGUCAUUGCCCUUCUGAUCGUCAGAGUUCACACUGUUUUUUCUCUCUCAUCACAGUUAUGAACUUUUCUUUUUCCCCUAUUAGCAGGAUAGCACGUACCUCUGAAGGCAGCCACACACCAGGUGACAGGCACAGAGGCUGCCAGUGGGACCUGCGCAGGAAGCAGUGUAGGAGCAUUUGCUGGCCACAGUUUUCCCUGCUGUUUGUCCUUGUGAUCUCUGCAGCAGUUGUAUGGCCUCAGGCAGGCCAGGCUCCAGAAAAACAGGAAGAAAAAGGACAUCAGUGCCUCCUUUUUGAGUUAUGUUAGUAUAAUAGAGAGAAGCACUGGCAUCUUGCAAGCUGGAGUCUUUUAAAUGGAAACCAAGAGAGUAAUCGCAGUCAGUGGUUCACAGGGAAAGAAUGACUUCUGGAAGCAGAUGCUCACGUCUCUUUGGUCUGGAUCAACCAAGCAAAUCAAGUAAGCCCUCUGGAGAGAAAGGUGCUCUGAAACAUCUUCAGGCUGCUUCAAGCUGGGAUUCUUCUUACCUAAAAUCUAUGUCCUGAUGCUUUUUGUUGGAGGAAAUUACCUUUUUUUUCUGUAUGGUUGGUCUGCUAAAUUAUUUCAGUUGGAUAAGAACUCUUCCUACCCAGAGUCUUUGAAAUACAGACAAGUUCAUCACACCUGGAUAGAAGUAAAAUGGAAAUAUUUUCAUUUAAGUAGAGGUUUAAUUAUAGUUAAAGCUAGUUGUUAUACCUUGGGGAAAAUAGAAAAAUCUAUGUGGUUACAUAGGUAAAUUUGUCUCAUCUCCCUGUGGUUUCGACCAUAAGAACAUAGAGUCAGAAGUUGUAAUAGUUGACUAAAAUAUUUUCUGUCCUAGACAUACAUUAAUCAUGUAAUUGUUUGCCUAACGAAGCUCUUUAAGAAUAACUGGAAGAAAUGAAAUGUGUUAAGGAGUCGAACAGAAGAACGAGCCAUUGUGCCAAAUUACAGAGAAUUUCUGUGAUUUUCUGAAGUAGAAAGUAAAGUGGGAGGAUGAGAAGACAAUUCUCCAGUUCAAUUUCUACCUCUUCACUCAUUUCAUGUUAUAAAUAAGUGUUUCAUAGGACUGCCUUCAAUUUAUUGUCUGGUCCUGGCAGACAGCUACUAUUCUGUCUCAUUCAAAUUCCACUUUUUCCCUCUUACCUCAUACGCUUUGGGGAGAACGUCAGCAAAUAACUUUGGUCUUGUUUUCUUUAGUACUUCUUGAAAUUAUUUCCUCUCUCCUGGCCAGAUACGUGUUUAGGCCAUCACAACUAUAGUCAAGACUGUGGUUCCCCAUCAGCAGGGCAGUGAAUUUUUGGAAACAAAAUUUCUCCAUAGGCAGGACUGUCAGGUCCUGUGCCUAUCCUGUACAGUUUGAUAAGCAAAUAACCUUAUAUACAUGUAAAACUGGUAAUAUGAAUUCUGGGCUCUGCUGCUAUCUGCAUUUUUUCUAAGCCUAUCAGAGGGGAAAGAAUAAGGAGCCCAUGUUCUGAGAAUUCUAAGUGUAUGCCUUUUGUCUGCUACUUUGUUACUUUCUGCACACACACAAAAAAAACCCAAAUCUGCAAAAACUUUUAUAAUCAAUUUUGUGCUCAGCGUGGAUAUUUGUACCCAACAGCAGCAAGCGAAGUUAUGUUGGUUCAAGUUCAUUUGGGGUUGUAUUCUGGGAAUGCCACAGAAGUACGAGGCCUCCCUUUAACAGAUGUUUUGUUCCUGUAAGGGAGGUUGAGCUGCUGAAGCCCAGGCAGGGUAAAUAUUCCUUGUGUUUGGAGGACCAAGAUAUUAAAAGGUCUGCUGCUGAGUUUAUAAUGGUUAUUUACUGGUUUAAUGGCAUCCUUCACCAAUUAUUGUGUACUUGGGUACGUUUCUAUGUGUUUGCAGAACUCCUCAAGAGUUCUUGUUGUGUUCAGUCACUGUCCAUGGACAAUUCUGUGCAAACAGAAUGUUAAUUGUGCUGCAGACAAUAGAUGCCAAUGUUGAUUUACAUAAAUAAGCAUUAUUAUUUUAUGUAUGAAGUAUUUUCAUUAGCGUUAUUUUCUUUCUUAUGGACUUGAAGAAAAAUAUUUUCUUGCUUGGUGACUUAGAUAAGAGAAAAUCAUUUUUUUACAUUGCAUUUCAUGCUGAAAGAGGGGACAGAGGAAUAGCUGAGAUAUUUAUAGUGGAUGAGAAUAGAAAGCAGAACAGCACAACUGGGAGGACUGGUGAUAGAAUACAGAGCCUUUUCUCUUCCAGGUGUUCAGAUGCUGCGUAAUGGACAUGUCAUAAAUACCUCCAUGGUGAGUUUCGGUGAGGCCUGUGCAAAGGGCAGCAGGCAGGCAUUGACAUGGGUGUUGAUCACAGGUUCAGAAGACCCUAACUCCCCCCGUGUAGGUCUCUGAGGAGGGUUGGCCAGACUGUAUGGCUGGGCUCAAGGCAGCCCCGUCACCAAGCACUGUGUGCCAGGAGGGGCUGUCAUGGCACAACCCCGCUGUUUGCUGUUGCUGUUUGCAGUGGCUGUGUGGGGGGACCUCGUGGACAAGCACCUGCUGUGCUUGCUCUGGGACUUAUACUGAGUUCUCUUUGCCUCUACACUGCACGUAGCUGCAUGAGGCAAAGGAUCCCUGGUGGGCUUGCCUGUAGGAAGAAGCAAAUUAUGUAUUUCAUGCAGGAGAUGUAAACUAGAUAAUUGUGCUAUCUCUGAUCUCAUGCUGUGGUUCUUGGAUGAGGAGUAGAAGCAUGGGUAUUGCACCUUCAGAACUCACUCUCACAGUCUGCUUCCAUCUAAAAAUCAUUACUUAGAAGAAAUACCACACUUGCUAACCAUAACCUGUAUUCUUCCUGACCUGCAGAGGAGUAGGUGUACCUCCUCUGUUUGGAGGCAAAGCAGCUUUACAGGACCACUUGGAGCGAAGACUGGAUCCUUAUUGAGCUGAAGGCUCGAACUGACAUCAUUAGGUGUUUAGCUGUUUGAGCCUUUUCUCUUGAAAGGAGCAGAAAACUUGGUCUGAGGGCUGGGUCAUUUCAGCACUGAAGAGAAUUAAUUUCUUUUUUUAAUAUAUAAGAAAUACGGUCUGUGAGAUCUCUUGGAAGUACUCGAGUCUGUGAAGAGAAUCUAACACUUAGGGCUUAGCUGUGUAUACCUCUAAGUAUUUCUAAUUGAGAGACACAAAGCAUUGUUUUCUUUUGGAGAAUCAGCCCCCAGUUUGGAUUUAGGAAAGAAUGCAACACCGAGGUAAUCUUACUUUUCCCAUCAUCAUCCUUUCAGUUGUCUUUGUUCCCUUCCUCCCCAGACGCAAGGUGACACAUCCAAGUACUUGUCCUUCAACAGAUUCUUCAGCAAGCAACAGAGCAGAAAGCCCUAAUAUCUAUUCAUUUGUAAUCUGUCAUUCUUAAAGUAUUAAGGACAAUUGACUUCACAUGUCUUAGGUAAUUAGAAUAGUCAUCCUUUGCUCCAGAUUUUUAAAGUAAGUGUCUCAAACUCUUAAUCAGUACAUUUAUUGAUGUCUUUCAACAUAUCUGUUUCUUGUCAAAAGUGUGUUAGAUUUGGGGGGAAAAAAAAUCUUGCGUACUGAAUUUUGCAUAAGAAUUAUAUUGAAAACGUUUUAAUAUUGCUUUUGUAAUCAAAUAAAAUAUAUUAGUGACAACAUGGUAUUUUGCACAUUCAGAUUAUUCAAUCUCUUCUUUAAUAUGGAAAACUCCUCAAAAGCAAAUUAAUAAAUAUAGAUGUCAGGAGUUACAUUUACACAAAUGUUUUACUACUUGUUUUCCCAAGUUUAUAUUUCCACAUCAAGUGAUAUUAACUAUGAUAAUAGCUAAUACUAUUUUAUAAGCUCUGAGGGGCUUAUAAAGAAUGUCGUUGGAUUUCUUCAGCUGUUACUGAUCUUAGUAGAAAAAAAGCAGGCAUUCCUCACAUCCGAAACCUGAGUCCUAAUGUUGUUUGGUCACUGAUGCAAGUUUAUGUGAUUUGUUAGCUACAGAUCUGGGAGAUCUCUAGGGACAGACACACCGUUUUAAAGAAAUAGUGCUCUCCAGGUCUGACAGGUCUGAUAUUUAUUUGAGAAGAGCAAUCAUUACAAUUAGCAGGAAGUAUUACCAUUAUUAUAUAGCUAUGUCUAUAUAGGCUUAUGCACGUUUUUGGGAGGUUUUUUUGUUUGUUUUGAUGGUGUUGUUUUGAUUUGUUGGGUUUUGUUUUGUUGUUUUAACCUUAUUGUCACAUUGCUUAUUUCAGAAUGUGCUUCCCCAGCAUCUCUUUAGCAAGAAACAGGGAAGUCUCACAAAAGAUACUGUUAUUUAUUUGGUCCCUGGAUGCUUGAGCACUCUGGUCCUUCUAACCAUCCUGCCAGCAAGCCUGCAGCUAACUUCAUGUGCUGAAUGGGAAGAAGACGGUCUUUAACAGUUUUUAUUGAUCUGAAGUCAGAGCUGGGAAGCAGUCUGGGCAGUGGGAGGUGUGUGUUUCUGUCACUGCUGCUGUUUGCACUUCUUAGCCACACUGAAUCAGAAGGCAGAAGAGGGCUCUACAGAGAGGCUAGGCUCCAUGGAGAUCAGCAGGGAUGAAGGGAGGUUUUGGCGGAGAAGACCAGUUCUCCCCAUCCCUGUGCCAGUGUUCGCCCUUGUGCAUCUCACUCUCUAAGAUCCUGACACUUUCUGCCUUGUGCACUCAUUUGCAGUCCCAUUCAGGGGCUGGUUUGGGGAUUUAAACUGGGAAUCCCACGUCUAUUUAUAAUAUCAGUAUUUUCCAAUAAAUGACCAGCAAAGGUGGAGGAGGAAUAUGCCAUGGUAAAACAAAAGCUUAGGGAUGACUUGAUGUUGUCACCAUAUCCUGGCUGUCCUCCAGCCACAGGGUAUUCUCCAGCUUCUCCUUGGGGAAUGAACACUGUAGGGAGGCUAUGAACAAUAUACAGACACACAUGUUACAUCAGUAGAUGUUCUGCAGAAAUGUUGCAUUUCCAGUUUGUCGGAAGAAACAAGGAUGAACUCCAAUAUCUUAUUCUUUCAUUGGCACUGCUUCUCUCCUGUGCAUCCUCUUCUUCAGCUGCACAGACCGUGGUGGCAAUAAAUGAGAAAAUCAAGCAGGUGCUGUGUAACCCUGUGUGAGCCUUAGGGCAGCCACUGGCCUCCUGGGAAGGUUGGGUGCUCGUUACAGAAGAGCUCUUUAUACCUAAGAGCUGUGUGCACGACUCCCUGUGGGGAAUACAAAAGAAGAUAUUUGAGGUGUGCUUAUGUGGAGUUGUCCCAUUUUCAGUGAAUUUCUCCCUUCUUCCCUUCAUUUGAGACCCGGGGUGGGUAAAAACAGGAAAGCGAGGAUACAGAAAAGGAUUUCCCUCCUGAGGAAGAAUCUCACAAGCCUGUGGACAUUGUUUAUGGCAGUGCAGGGCAGAAUACCGUGCAGACUUCAGUCAAAUCCCAUAUUUCAGCAGAGUGCAAGGCACCUGGAGCAUAAGGCAGCUGGCAGUGUCACAAGUGCUGUAAGUAUGAGCUCUUAUAAAACAUGGGACUGUGUUUGAGACUCUCCAUUGAGCGGUAUAACUUAAUUGCUGAUAGGGGUUUGGCCUGUCCAACCAACUUAGCGUUGUCUUUUUUGUGUGUGGUAAUGACAGCUGUACAGAUCCAAGAAACAGUUCCUCAUAUGAACAGUUACGUCCACUGGCCCAGGAGAGAUACUUCAGGAUUCUCAAGUGUUGGGUUCCAAAGUGCUUCUGAAUCAUAGACUUUCAGUGGUUCAUAAUAGAUGAAUUCUCUGAUUUACUUUACUUAUCCUUCAGAAAUGAGUUGAUGCUGCACAUGCAUAAUACUUAUUCCUUUUUGUAAUAUAUUACUCAACGUGGAAUAAUUAGGAAUGCAAAUGUUGCUCUGAGCAGCAACAGUAGAAUGCUUGCCUCCCACUGAAUCAUUUUUGUCUCUCUUUAAAGGAUUCAUUUCCUGAUUACUGAAUUAUUUCAAACAUGAUAUUUAACCUUCGCCUUCUUUAGUUUGUAUGCACAUUAAAUAAGCUUGAUAAUUAAGGAUUGUUGCUACAUUUGGG